rnacentral:rRNA from 1 species
UACGGAAUGUGCAAACGUUAUUCGGAAUCACUGGGCUUAAAGAGUCCGUAGGCGGCAUGUUAGGUGAGGUGUGAAAUCCCCCGGCUCAACCGAGGAAUUGCGCUUCAAACCGGCGUGCUUGAGGAAGAUAGAGGUGGGCGGAACUGAUGGUGGAGCGGUGAAAUGCGUUGAUAUCAUCAGGAACGCCGGAGGCGAAGGCGGCCCACUGGGUCUUUUCUGACGCUGAGGGACGAAAGCUAGGGGAGCGAACGGG